GACGAACGCUGGCGGCGUGCUUAACACAUGCAAGUCGAACGAUGAACUACCAGCUUGCUGGUGGGGAUUAGUGGCGAACGGGUGAGUAACACGUGAGUAACCUGCCCUGGACUCUGGGAUAACCCCGAGAAAUCGGAGCUAAUACCGGAUAGGACCUUUCCCCGCAUGGGGUUUGGUGGAAAGUUUUUCGGUCUGGGAUGGACUCGCGGCCUAUCAGCUUGUUGGUGAGGUAAUGGCUCACCAAGGCGUCGACGGGUAGCCGGCCUGAGAGGGUGACCGGCCACACUGGGACUGAGACACGGCCUAGACUCCUACGGGAGGCAGCAGUGGGGAAUAUUGCACAAUGGGCGCAAGCCUGAUGCAGCAACGCCGCGUGCGGGAUGACGGCCUUCGGGUUGUAAACCGCUUUUAGUAGGGAAGAAGGGCUUCGGCUUGACGGUACCUGCAGAAAAAGGACCAGCUAACUACGUGCCAGCCGCCGCGGUAAAAC
rnacentral:rRNA from 1 species